CUGGCGCAGGGAGGGCCCUGAUUGGGGAAUAAAGGCCCCGCCAGCCUCCUUCCCACCUCUGCUGGUGAAAGGAGCAUCUGGGUCAGGGUUUGGACCAUGUCCCGGCUGGUGGAAUGUGUCCCCAACUUCUCAGAGGGGAACAAUCAGGAGGUGAUUGACGCCAUCGCUCAAGUGGUGGCCCAGACCCCGGGCUGCACACUGCUGGACGUGGACGCCGGCCCCUCCACCAACCGCACCGUCUACACCUUUGUGGGGCGCCCUGAGGACGUGGUGGAGGGGGCCCUGAAUGCCGCCCGCACUGCCCACCGGCUCAUCGACAUGAGCCGGCACAGAGGGGAGCACCCCCGGAUGGGCGCCCUGGACGUGUGCCCCUUCAUCCCAGUGAGGGGCGUCACCAUGGACGAGUGUGUGCUGUGUGCCCAGGCCUUUGGCCAGCGGCUGGCAGAGGAGCUGGGUGUGCCAGUGUACCUCUAUGGUGAGGCGGCGCGGAUGACCAGCCGCCAGUCCCUGCCAGCCAUCCGGGCCGGGGAGUACGAGGCCCUCCCUGAGAAGCUCAAGCAGGCCGAGUGGGCACCCGACUUCGGGCCCAGCUCCUUCAUUCCCAGCUGGGGGGCCACUGCCACAGGGGCACGGAAGUUCCUCCUGGCGUUCAACAUCAACCUGCUCAGCACCAAGGAGCAGGCGCAUCGCAUCGCCCUCAAUCUCCGUGAGCAGGGUCGUGGGAAGGACCAGCCAGGACGCCUGAGAAAGGUGCAGGGCAUCGGCUGGUACCUGGAUGAGAAGAACCUGGCUCAGGUGUCUAUGAACCUCCUGGACUUUGAGGUCACAGGGCUGCACACCGUCUAUGAGGAGACCUGCAGAGAAGCCCAGGAGCUGAGCCUCCCAGUGGUGGGCUCACAGCUGGUGGGCCUGGUGCCUCUGAAAGCCCUGCUGGAUGCGGCCACCUUCUACUGCGAGCAGGAGAAUCUGUUCCUCCUGGAGGAGGAGCAGCGGCUCAGGCUGGUGGUGAACCGGCUGGGCCUGGACUCCCUGUCCCCCUUCAACCCCAAGGAGCGGAUCAUCGAGUACCUGGUCCCCCAGGACGGGCCUGAGCAAAGCCUGGUGGACCAGCCCCUGCGCGCUUUCAUCCGGGCCGUGGGCGCCCGCUCGGCAGCCCCGGGGGGUGGCUCUGUGGCCGCAGCCAGUGCAGCCAUGGGCGCCGCCCUGGCCUCCAUGGCCGGCCUGAUGACCUAUGGGCGGCGCCAGUUUGAGCACCUGGACGUGACCAUGCGCCGCCUGAUCCCGCCCUUCCAUGCCGCUGUGGCUGAGCUGACUGCGAUGGUGGACGCCGACGCCCAGGCCUUCGAGGCCUACCUGAAAGCGACAAAGCUACCCAAGAACACACCUGAGGACAAGGACAGACGUGCGGCCGCCCUGCAGGAGGGGCUGAGGCAGGCGGUGGCUGUGCCCUUGGCGCUGGCAGAGACGGUGGCCUCACUGUGGCCGGCACUGCGAGAGCUGGCCCUGUGCGUGAACCUGGCCUGCAGGUCAGACCUGCAGGAGCUGCGUUCCACCCUGGGUCGGGAAAAGCCCCUGGAGAAGGAAACGGCAGCCCGCUCCAGUAUUCUUGCCUGGGAUUAUCCCACGGACAAAGGAGCCUGGCGGGCUACAGUCCAUGAGGUCACAAAGAGUUGGACACUGAGUGACUGAGCAUGCAUCCAGCCUGGGCUAAGUACAUCUCCAGCCUGGGCUAUGCCUGAGGCAUCACUGGGCCGCGGGGUUGGAGUGCCGAGGUCAGCAGGGUGUGGACUGCUGGGUGGUCAGCUGAGGGUGGGCCUCUGAGCACUGGAUGGCGCAGGGGCCCUGGGACCCUCCUUGGAGAGGGCCAGGCUUCUGUCCAGUGACUCCGGGCUCCCGAGGGCUGUGUGGAUGCUUUCCUGCUCGAGUGACCGGUCAGAUUGCUGUCUUCAGGGUUGAGGCGUGAGGCCCCCAGGCUAUGUCCUGGGCUGAGGAGUGGGCAGGGGGAGGCCCGCUGCCUGCCCAUCACUGCCGGCUGGUUCUGUCUCGUGGCCAUUGCAGGUGGCAGCCAAGGCCCUGGAGACAGGUGUGUUUGGCGCAUAUUUCAAUGUGCUCAUCAACCUGAAGGAUGUCACUGAUGACACGUUUAAGGACCAGGUCCGCCAGCGCAUCUCCAGCCUCCUGCAAGACGCCCAGACGCAGGCAGCGUU